rnacentral:lncRNA from 1 species
CUAAGGCCUGAUGAAAGCCUUGGGGCGCCAGGAGGGGCAGAGAGGCAGCCCUUGCACCUCACCAUGCUGCUCUGCUCUGCCAGAGUUCCUCCAGAGCCCACUGCCUCAAGGAAGAUGUCUGUCAUUAAAGGGCAAAUGAUCUCCUUGGAAUUCCUAGUUGGCCAGGAGCACUGCCUGAGAAGGAAGGCUGAGGAAUUCAGGGAAGGUUUAAAUUGGAUUCCACCAACCUUUUCCCACAAUUUGAUGAGCAUUUUAAUUCUGUGCAACUGGACUCAGUGUUCCCAGGUCCUAACUCAACUCUGAAAUGGGAUUCAGAAAUCCUCACUGCAUUCUCACCUGUCCAGACAAGAUGGAAAAGUCUAAUUCCAUUUCAAUUCAUUAUUUGUUCAACCAGUAGUUAUUGGACACCAACUGUAUGCUAGGUGCUCAGGGGAAUUCAUCAGUCCCCUGGAGUUUACAGUAGAGCAGACACAGCAAAUACUUGUUACUAUUGUGCACAGUCAUGAGAACUUAUUUUAAAUAAAGGAUGUUGGUGAAUGAAACACGUUUACUAAAUCCAACGGCUGCCGUCACAAGAAUAUCCUGCAAAUGCUAGCUUCUUGUUCUCUAUUGUUAAUAUAUGAAAAAUGUGACUGCCUUCCCCGGUGAGUAUAGACACUUCCUGUACAUAUUUUUCAAAAUGUAUCAAUGGUCAAGGGGCCAGUAGGAGCUAGACAUGAGGGUUUUCUAAGAGUUUCACCACACCUUCUAUCCUGGGUCUAUGAGUUUGAUCCUUGCAUCUCCAGGCAUCUGCAUAGGACUGUGAAAGUUAAUGGGAGAAGCAGAACAAAUGGAGAUUUCUGGA